GAUGAACGCUGGCGGCGUGCCUAAUACAUGCAAGUCGAGCGAACGGACGAGAAGCUUGCUUCUCUGAUGUUAUCGGCGGACGGGUGAGUAACACGUGGAUAACCUACCUAUAAGACUGGGAUAACUUCGGGAAACCGUAGCUAAUACCGGAUAAUAUUUUGAACCUCAUGGUUCAAAAGUUAAAGACGGUCUUGCUGUCACUUAUAGAUGGAUCCGCGCUGCAUUAGCUAGUUGGUAAGGUAACGGCUUACCAAGGCAACGAUGCAUAGCCGACCUGAGAGGGUGAUCGGACACACUGGAACUGAGACACGGUCCAGACUCCUACGGGAGGCAGCAGUAGAGAAUCUUACGCAAUGGGCGAAAGCCUGACGGAGCAACGCCGCGUGAGUGAUGAAGGUCUUCGGAUCGUAAAACUCUGUUAUUAGGGAAGAACAUAUGUGUAAGUAACUGUGCACAUCUUGACGGUACCUAAUCAGAAAGCCACGGCUAACUCCGUG
rnacentral:rRNA from 1 species